rnacentral:rRNA from 1 species
UUAGAGUUUGAUCCUGGCUCAGAACGAACGUUAGCGGCGCGCUUAACACAUGCAAGUCGCACGAGAAAGGGCUUCGGCCCCGGUAAAGUGGCGCACGGGUGAGUAACACGUGGGUAACCUUCCCUAGAGCGGGGGAUAACAUUCCGAAAGGAGUGCUAAUACCGCAUAAGACCACGCCCUCGAAAGAGAGUGAGGUAAAAGCAGGCCUCUUCACGAAAGCUUGCACUCUAGGCUGGGCCCGCGGCCCAUCAGCUAGUUGGUAGGGUAACGGCCUACCAAGGCGAAGACGGGUAGCUGGUCUGAGAGGAUGAUCAGCCACACUGGAACUGAGACACGGUCCAGACUCCUACGGGAGGCAGCAGUCGGGAAUUUUGGGCAAUGGGCGAAAGCCUGACCCAGCAACGCCGCGUGAAGGAUGAAAUCUUUCGGGAUGUAAACUUCGCAAGAAUAGGAAGAAUAAGUAGAGGAUAAAACCCUCUGUGAUGA